rnacentral:lncRNA from 1 species
CAUGAAUUUUCUGUUAAAGGUGUUUUGAUGAACAAGUCAAACUGGGUAGAACAGAAGGACUUGGAUGUAGUAGUGUAGAAGUGGUGCACAAAAGUUUAUUGGGAAUGCUGAAUUAGAACCAGAUGGAUUUUUCAGCUUAACUCUCCUCCCU